rnacentral:rRNA from 1 species
UCAAAACAUUGUCUUAUGAAUAAAAUAUCAGAUAAUUCCUGCCCAGUGACACUCGUUCAACGGCCGCGGUAUCCUAACCGUGCAAAGGUAGCAUAAUCAUUUGCCUAUUAAUUGUAGGCUGGAAUGAAUGGAUUAACGAAAUAAAGACUGUCUCAAUUAACCACCUAAAAAUUAUUUUCUAUCUGAAGAAAGAUAGAUAGUCUCGAAGGACAAGAAGACCCUAUAGAGCUUAAUUUUAAUUAUAGAAAUAUACUAUAAAAAUAUUCGGUUGGGGCGACCCAGGGCUAAUUAAUCACCCAUUAAACAAAAGAUAAAUUAAUCUACUAAAUGACCCUUUAAUGAUCAUAAAAACAAGCUACCUUAGGGAUAACAGGCUAAUCCCACUUAAGAGUCCUUAUCAACAGUGGGGUUUGGCACCUCGAUGUUGGCUUAGGGUAUCACUAUAGCGCAAAAGUUAUAUAAAGAUGGUUUGUUCAACCAAUAAUUCCCUACGUGAUCUGUUU